UAGUUAUCCGUCCAAAACUAAAACUGCAGCGUUGAUUCUCCACAACGUUGUGGUAUUCAAUUGGACCAAAGGAAAGCCCAUGAUUAGCUAUUCCUCUUAAGGCCAUUGGCUCGAAGAUGCAACCUUAAUAAAGCAUAAAUCAACAGAAUCCCAGA